UACGAAGGGGGCUAGCGUUGUUCGGAAUUACUGGGCGUAAAGCGUGCGCAGGCGGCCAUCCAAGUCAGUGGUGAAAGCCCGGAGCUCAACUCCGGAAUUGCCAUUGAAACUGUUUGGCUCGAGUACGGGAGAGGUGAGUGGAAUUCCUAGUGUAGAGGUGAAAUUCGUAGAUAUUAGGAAGAACACCAGUGGCGAAGGCGGCUCACUGGUCCGGUACUGACGCUGAGGUGCGAAAGCGUGGGGAGCAAACAGG
rnacentral:rRNA from 1 species